GCCUGGUCGCUAAGUUUUGAGCGCUUUGCGCAAAAAAUACGCGAUUUUGUAAAAAAUGUCCUCUUAGCUAUUUGAAAUUAUGCAAACUCUAUGUCUAUCAUCAUCAUCAUCAUCAUCAUUAUUAUUAUUAUUGUCAGUGAUACUUGAUUAACAAGGGCAACAUGACAAAUGUAAAGUUUUUUGAGCCGCUCUUUCAUUCACUCAUUCUAAGUCGAAUUGAUUGUUUUGGUUUCAUUUCAUGCAGUUUCGGCACCCCCUAAAAUACCCUCACAGGAGGCAUUUCCCCUGCCACCAUGCCACUGGGCCCGAUUGCAAAUUAUGCACAUCACUGAAUGACAAUAAUCGUUUUAAAGAGCAUGUGCUAAUUUACAAAUUAUGAUACCUCCCAGAUAAAAAGCCCUUUGAGAAGAGCAUGUCCACUGAAAUAGAUGCAGGUGAUCCGAAUCCUAGUUUAGCUAGCUGUUUAUAGUUUACUACUAAAUAAGUAUUUGAUGGCGAUCAGUUUUUGAACGCUGUGAUGGAAAAACAGGGUAAUUCAAAUGUGACUUGCCCAUCAUCUUCUGAGGUAAUAAAUUUCUUAAUAUACAGCGGAUAAUCGCCAUGGUCCACAUGACAAGAAGCUUGGAACCAGCGCUUGAAUUCUUCAAAUGAUUUAAGUCGAUAUGGCCAGAUCGACCUGUUUAUCACAACAUUGUUGAAGAGACCAAUCUCGUGAAACAGAUCUCGAUAGCCCUCUUCGGUUAAUGAACAAAAACCUGUUAGAUAAAAUGAUUUCAUAUUAUGUCAUUGUCAGUAGAACAAGGUCGCAUCACGGGGAUGCAGGAUGAUAUUCCUCGUGGUUCAACAUUACAAAGUUGAUAUUUUCAUGUAAACAUUUCAUUGCC
rnacentral:lncRNA from 1 species